GAUGAACGCUGGCGGCGUGCCUAAUACAUGCAAGUCGAGCGAAGCGGGGACGGGUGAGUAACACGUAGAAACCCUCCUUUACGUAUCCGAUAAAUUCGGGUAACAGGUGCUAAACCGGAUACUUAGAUGUUGAUCCGUGUUGCAUUCGCUAGUUGGUAAGGUAACGGCUUACCAAGGCAACACUGAAUAGCCGACCUGAGAGGGUGAGCGGCCACACUGGAACUGAGACACGGUCCAGACUCCUACGGGAGGCAGCAGUAGGGAAUCUUCCGCAAUGGACGAAAGCCUGACGGAGCAACGCCGCGUGAGUGAUGAAGGUCUUCGGAUCGUAAAACUCUGUUAUUAGGGAAGCGGUACCUAAUCAGAAAGCCACGGCUAACUACGUGCCAGCAGCCGCGGUAAUAC
rnacentral:rRNA from 1 species